rnacentral:rRNA from 1 species
AUUGAACGCUGGCGGCAGGCCUAACACAUGCAAGUCGAGCGCGCGGGGGAGGGGUGUGUAAAGUCUGGGAAAAUGCGCGAAGGAGGGGGGUAACAACUGGGAACGGUAGCUCAAAUACCACACCAUCAGAUGUGUCCAGAUGGGAUUAGCGAGUGGGUGGGGUAAUGGCUCACCCCGGGGACGAUCCCUAGCUGGUCUGAGAGGAUGACCAGCCACACUGGAACUGAGACACGGUCCAGACUCCUACGGGAGGCAGCAGUGGGGAAUAUUGCACAAUGGGCGCAACCCUGAUGCAGCCAUGCCGCGUGUGUGAAGAAGGCCUUCGGGUUGUAAAGCACUUUCAGCGAGGAGGCGUUACUCGCAGAAGAAGCACCGGCUAACUCCGUGCCAGCAGCCGCGGUAAUAC